rfam:Roseovarius albus strain CECT 7450 genome assembly, contig: 0007
GCGGAGGGCUGGGUGACCGCGGGGUGGCAACACCACGAGGAAAGUCCGGACUCCACAAGGCAACGGUGCCGGGUAACGCCCGGCCGGGGAAACCCGAGGGAAAGCGCCACAGAAAACAGACCGCCCAGAGCGUCAGAGGUUCGCUUCCGACAAUAUCAGGGUCAGGGUGAAACGGUGGGGUAAGAGCCCACCGCGGGACGGGCAACCGGACCGGCACGGCAAGCCCCACCGGGAGCAAUGCCAAAUAGGGACAGCAUAUGGGCCAGCCUUGGCCCGGCCGUUCGGGUUGGCAGCUAAAGAUCUGUUGGCAACAGCAGGUCUAGAUGAAUGGUCAUCCAGGGGGUCCGCCCCCGGACAGAAUCCGGCUUAUAGGCCCUCCGCGCAU